rnacentral:lncRNA from 1 species
CCACCAAUAUUUGAGAAAUAACAGAAAAACAAUUUACCCCUUGGAAAUUGGAGAUGAGAUUGUUCACCGUUGGCUGUCCUGGUACUUGUCUGCCCUUUCCCCCAGAUUCUACACAAAUAUUCAAGCUCAGGAGAUUCGUGUUGU